rnacentral:rRNA from 1 species
UACGAAGGGGGCUAGCGUUGCUCGGAAUUACUGGGCGUAAAGCGCACGUAGGCGGCUUUCUAAGUCAGGGGUGAAAUCCUGGAGCUCAACUCCAGAACUGCCUUUGAUACUGGAGAGCUUGAGUCCGGGAGAGGUGAGUGGAACUCCGAGUGUAGAGGUGAAAUUCGUAGAUAUUCGGAAGAACACCAGUGGCGAAGGCGGCUCACUGGCCCGGUACUGACGCUGAUGUGCGAAAGCGUGGGGGAGCAAACAGG